rnacentral:lncRNA from 15 species
AACUGUGGCGUGUUUGUUUUGAUGGUAAGACCUAUUCAGUAUGUUAUAGCAUUGCUGUUAUCUGUAAAAUGUUUGCUUGGUACAUUCAAAACACAUUCAUUUCUAUUGAAAAAAAAUGUAUCCUGGGAGAAUAUGCAUGACAUUAUAUUAACCAGUACCUCUUGACUUACAGUACGCUCUGUACAUUGUAAUGGGGGCCAAUUGCGAUUUCAGAGAGGAAAACAUGCUGCAAAUUCGAAGAUGGUGGUGUCUUGUUCUCCUGCAGAACUUCCCCAUGCCGUCUGAAGAAGACCGAUUGCAGGACAGAAAAAGGCGACGACAGCAAAGAGGGCAACAGGUGAGAGGUCAUGUGAUUAAUUAG